GGCGCCCCUCCCCAAGCCUGGCUGCCGCCUUGCAGUUUGAUCUCAGACUGCUGUGCUAGCAAUCAGCGAGACUCCGUGGGUGUAGGACCCUCUGAGCCAGGUGCAGGAUAUAAUCUCGUGGUGCACCGUUUUUUAAGCCCGUCGGAAAAGCGCAGUAUUCGGGUGGGAGUGAUCCGAUUUUCCAGGUGCCGCUCGUCACCCCUUUCUUUGACUCGGAAAGGGAACUCCCUGACCCCUUGUGCUUCACAAGUGAGGCAAUGCCUCGCCCUGCUUUGGCUCACGCACGGUGCGCGCACCCACUGACCUGCGCCCACUGUCUGGCACUCCCUAGUGAGACGAACCCGGUACCUCAGAUGGAAAUGCAGAAAUCACCCGUCUUCUGCGUCGCUCACGCUGGGAGCCGUAGACCGGAGCUGUUCCUAUUCGGCCAUCUUGGCUCUUCCCCCGGUAUUUUGCCACUCUAUCAAGAAAGUUAAGGACUCUCAAGCUUUUGGAUGCUUAGAAAAUACAUCAGAGGAGGACAGAAACUCAGAUAUCUCUGCAUCCUGAAUUCAUUGGUGGAAUUGCUACUGUGCCCAGUAAAAGCAUUUCAGUCAUGCAAGGAGAGGAUGUUAAGGUAAAGGAAUGAAACCGAAGACCAGAAAGUGGUAAAAAGCAGCAGUGAAGAAACCAAAACUAAAACAAACCAGCAAAGACCAUAUUCAGCUCACAGCCUUUCAGGAACUGAAGUAGAUCAUUGGCCCAGACUCUCCACUGAAUCCGAAGAAUGCUUUGCAGGGGAUGUUCAGAGGCUUACCUGAGAAUGAGAGAAAAAGAAAUGAGCAAAUGACUCCUGAUUAUCAGUGGGAGACAGGAAGCGACCAUUUAACAUCCAAAGGAAAACUCAGAGCAUUAAAUGUAUCUUUGCCGGUCUUCACCAAUCCAUUUUGGAAUGAACCAGGGUACAAAUAAUAAAUAAUGGCCUUGAAGUUCAAGUUUUCCCUUUCAUUUGCUAACCCUUUUAAAGAAGGAGGAGGGAGAAAGGAAAGGGAAGAGGAGCCAAACUGAUCUGAGUUGCCUUUUCAAAAAUUCUUGCAAGGCAGAGUCAACAACAAAAUGGGAGAAAAGAACCUCAAUGUUUAUAUGCCUGUGGAAAUCAUUCCGAGUGCUGUAUUCAGGUGAUACCAAUCUACGAUUGUCACCAUCUCUUUUUGCUUGAAAUUUGGAUUUUAUCUUGAAUUGUAUGUAAUCUUUCUUUCCCCAUGUCCAUAAGUUCCUGAAGAGAGAAGGAAAUGAGUUCAAUGUAUCCACUAUGGGAGAGUGUAGCAGUUAUAUGCCAUUUAAUAAGUUUGAAUAUUUUUGUUCUGUUCUUUGAAGACAGGAGGUUACAUAAAUGACAGAAAAUAAAGGAUAUUAAAGCUAAUUAUUGCAGUUAGCAAUAUCAUAAUAAAGAAGUCACCUCUCCUGCUGCCUCUGCUGAAGGGCAUAAUUUAAAAAAGUAAAGACCCAUCAUUGCUCACAAGAAAAGUCAGAAGUCAGCUUCUGAGUCUUAGGCAGGAAUGGCCUGAAUGUAAUUCACAAAGUUGGUGAGGUUCUCUUGUAUCCUCCAGGGCUUUAUCCGCAUUCCUUGAGCCAUGUACUCUCCAGCUCUGGGUCUUUACAUUACUCCUCCUGUAAAACUGAGCCAGCCAUCCUGCUAGGAAUGGAUUCCCAACUCCAUCAUUGUUCUUGCCUUUCCUAUGAGUAUCCUUGACUGCCUCUAUUCUAGUCACUCAGCCUUGCUAGUUUACACAACCCUUCCUCACUGGAACUUUCCACUACUCUUUGUUCCUUCCUUGGUAAAACAAUUGGCUAGUCUCAUCAAAUAAUGCCCAAUCAUUUUCCAGUAUGGGAUAAAGCUAAUAAGGAAGUUCUCCAUUCUUUACCAUGUAAUGUGCAUUUUUUUCUUUGAAAAUUAAUGUGUAUCUUUAGCAGUUUCUCAAAUAGUGGGAAAAUUGUUAAGCAAUAAGAAUUGCUUAACAGCGGAGAUUUCUAAAAUUCCUCACUACUCAUCUACUGACUCAAAGUCCUCAAAGCAGUUGCUCAACAAUCCUUUCUCUCUCUCCUUCAAAAUUCUCUUCCAAAUUCACAGGGAACUAUCCUGUCUCCUCAGUCAUCCCUACUCUUCCUCUCCUCUGGAUCUAGUUCUGUCUUCAAUAAGUUGUUCCCUGCCCUUUCCUUUAUAAGCUUCUAUAAAGCUGUAAUUUUUUAAUAUGAAAAUACUAAAUGCUAUAAAAUUAAAUCACACACUACAACCUUCCAGUCACACUAUUAAUUACUUCAUAAGUAUCUUGCAUAUAGGCUUCUGAAAACAGUGAUCUCUCUAUUUUGUAUUUCUAAGCUUUUAUAUUUUGUUCCAUAAGCAUGCCACUUCAUUUCAACAAACAUAUAACAAGUAUCUACAAUGGGCAAGAUCCCUUCCUAGGUGUUUGGGGAUACGUUAAAUAUGUCAGUCUCUGCCUUCAAGGAUUGUUGUGUCACUAAGAAUAAUUUAUCAAAGAUAGCUUCAUAGCAUGUCUUAGAUUGGUAGUUUUCUUAUCACUUGUUUUUGUUCAGUCUUCUGAACUUUUAUAAACUUCCUAGGGCCAGGACUGUGCCUUAUACUGUUCCAUAUUUCCCACAGUAUGAAGGUUGUAAAAUAAAUAGACCAGGAGUGACAUAGUUGGGGAAAAUAUCUCAAAGUCAAUUGUUCUGUUACACCCAUCUCUCUACUUGACUGGAACCAACAGGGACCUCAAUAUUCUUCCACUUUGGUCCAUUUCUCACACUGUCUUGUAUUUACUUCUGUAGUCAAAAAUCUGAUUAAAAAACAGCCUCUUUCCCCUGAAGCUCUCAAGUUAAAAAGACACUCACAGUUUAGUUUUCUGUACAAACUGUACAACAAAUUCCUGAGUAACUGCGAUUUUUCUGUAUUUUUUUAUCUUUGGCCUACAUAUACAGGUACACACACAUACACACACAUAUAUAUCUACUAGUACAGAUAUUUUAUUUUCUAUCUAUCUGUAUCCGUCUAUCUAUUCAUCUAUCAUCUAUCUAUUUAUUAGUCAUCCCCCCCACCCCAAAUGACAUGGCAUUCUCUCCCUGAAUUAAUUACAUCAGUUUUUACCACAGCCCUCUUACAUAGUGUAUGUGUGCACAUGAGUAUGUAGUAGGUAAAUCAAAAAUUAUCUCAGAUAUAAUCUGUUGACCAAAGUUGUACAUUUGCUAUUUGGCUCUGCUAAUCACCUGAAGAUACAGCAAGAAGGAACACCAUAGAAAACAGCUCAACGGGAAAAAUGUUCUUACAGAAUUUGCACUUGGUUACAUGGUAUAUAGUAAAACUUUAACAUUAAAAUUAGAAAACAGCUCAACGGGAAAAAUGUUCUUACAGAAUUUGCACUUGGUUACAUCGUAUAUAGUAAAACUUUAACAUUAAAAUUGCUGCCUCUCCUGUUGGUGGGUGGGGUGGUGGGAGGGAGAACAUUAGGAAAAAUAGCUAAUGCAUGCUGGGCUUAAUACCUAGGUGAUGGGUUGAUAGGUGCAGCAAACCACCAUGGCACAUGUUUACCUAUGUAACAAACCUGCACAUCCAGCACAUGUACCCCAGAACUAAAAAUAAAAUUUAAAAGAAAAGAAAAUUGCUGCUUCUUUAGAACAAAGAUUCCCAAAGCAAGGGACAAAAUAGCAUAGACAAGAUUUUUUAAAGUAUAUUUAAUAUUUUAAAUACUUUAAAAAGGAGAAUUAUUACAAGUUCUUUAAAACAACCAUUUAAAUAUAAGCAAUUUGCUUGAUGCCAACCAUUUUUGUCUACUUGUUAAGGCUCCACUGGCAAGUGAGGUUAGCCUAUGUAUGGUACCAUUACAAUUCAGUUAUAUAUUACGCAGAUAUCUUAGUUGAGUUGAUGGAUAAUUGUUUAGCUUGUAUUUUUUCUUACUCAAAUAUUUUAGCAACUCGGUGAAAAAGUUGUGUAUGUGUUUUAAAUAUAUAUUUGAUUAUUUUAAAACCUGGAUUUAAGCUGUAUUCUACAUGACUAAGCAAUCUAAAAAUCAGCCUGUUGUUGUAUAUAAGACUUGCACAUACAAUUUGUUUGGAAUGUACAACAUUCUGCUUUGUAUUAUCGUUGUGUAUAUUGCUAACUUCCCUUACUAUACUGUAAGCUCUUUGGCAGGUCACAUAACUAAUCCAUCUUGGUAACCUCUGAAAAGCCUAGCAGAGUGUUUUGCACAUUGUGUGCUUUCAGUACAUGCUAAAUUAAUGAACUAAACUAGCUUCCAAGAGACCUCGCCUAAGCAAUACUUCAACAUCUAUGUUCUAAGUACUUCAUGUACUUGAAAGUAAUAUAACUACAUGUCUUUAAAAUGCACUUAAUAAUUCAUAUUUUUCACUAUUUCUGACUUGUCAUUUCAUCCAACUUAAUCUGAGACAGUGAGGUUAUGCUGUUUAUCUUUACACAGAGAAAUCAAACACACAUUUGAUACCCACCAAGAUUCUUUCAAAAGACAUAUGGAGAAGAAUGAAUGCAGAUAAAGUUAGUUACAGCAUUGCAUAUCUUUCUCUAAUGCAGUUAGAAGGGAACUUUGAGAUCAUCGUCUCAUCCUCUCAUCUUCUCACUCUAGAUGAGAAAUAGAGGGCACAGUUUUAAAUGACUUGUCCAAGAACACACACUGACUGUUGGCAGAGCUUGCAAUGUAGUCCAAGUGCCUGCCUCUAAGUUUAAUGCUUUUUCCAAUAUAGCAGCUAUCUGUGGCCCUUACAUUGUGAGACCCCUGUCAUAUCUUCCUGAGGGGCUUUUUCUUGGCUUUCAACCUCUUCCCUUUUCCAUUUUUUUUCUGUAGACUUUUGCCAUAUUUGUUUUCCCUAAGCAUAGGUGUAUUCAUUACACAACUUUGCUUCAAAAUAUGAAAAGGUCCCCAUAAUCUACCAAUUUAAAUGGUUCUCAAUAGGGUGAAGUUGUGCCCCAGAGGGAGCAUUUGGUAAUAUCUGGGACAUAUUUACUUCUCAAAACUGAGGGAUGUGGUGUUAUGGGCAUCUGGUGGUAUAGACCAGGCAUUCUUCUAACCAUCUUACAGUGCAUAGGACAUCCCCCACAACAAAGAAUAAUCUAGUCCCAAAUGUCAAUAGUGCUGAGAUUAAGAAAACUUAUUCUAGAAUUAGAGGAUUUUCAGGUCCUGAUCUUAACUUUCUUUUCCAGAAUUAUUUCCUACAACCUUCCCACACUUAGAAACAUUGAUUGAAGUGCUUUCUAUUUUUUAUAGAUGUGCUAUACUUUCCUAUUGCCCUGAUUUUGCUUAGCUUGAAAUGGUUUUCCUCAUCUGUCUACAUUUUUCUUAUUUGUUAAAGACUGAAGUAUAUAACCUGCUCCAUAAAAACCUUCUUUGAUCCUUACAACCAGAUCAUCUUUUCUCUUUUCAAGGCUCAUAGAAAUAUGAAUGCAGACUGUUUUUAUUUUUGAAAAUCUUAUAUAUUAUUUUGCCAAAGUCUGAUUGUUAGACUCUGAGGAAUCUGUGAGAAAAUGUACACUAAGUUUGGAGUCCAAAGACUUCUAACUCCACCAUUUACUAAAUAUGUUUAACCUUGCACAUGUCAUUGCACCCCAGUGGGCCUCAUACUUUUCAUCACUGAAAUGGGACUAAUAAUGCCUACUUCCUAAAGGUGGUCAGAGGAUGAAGUAAAAUUUUAUGAAUAAAAGUGCUUUGUAAGUUUUAAAGCACUAUGCCAAUAUGAGGGGUUGUUAUUUUUAUUGCAAGGGGAGCUAGCUCUUGAAAGGCAGUUAAAGCUUCUAUUUUACCUCGUGUAGGGAAUAAGCAAUGCCCGUGACCAUACUGCAAAUUUUCUGGCUGGCCUUGUGUGAGGGCAGGACAUAUGCUUAAGUCGACUUUAAUUUUCCCCAUGAAGAAUACAGUGUGUUCUUUGUGCCUUGCAUCUACCCAGUAUGGUGGUAAGGAAAACACUUCCUUUUUCUGGAGAAGAAAGAGAACAGGGGAGUGCACCAACCGAUUAUUCACAACAGGAAUGCCAGGGGCAACAAGAGGCCUGCAAAACAUUUUUUUCUGCAGUCAAAUACACCCAGCUCAUAAAGAAUGCCGUAAUUUACUUCUAGUUCCUUGCAAAGACAUUUUUGGAAGUGUUGCCUUUGCCAUCCCAGAAUCCCCAGAAUGCAGCUGUACUUUGUUAGCCAAAGUUUAAGAAUAAAAUAAAUGAGUAGUAAUAAGAAAAAACCUGACUUGGAGUUUUUAUUCUUAGAUGAUAACUUGCCAUAUUUGUGGAGGUCUUGCUAAUUAUAUUUUGUAUAACACAAAUACCUAUGGAAAUUAAGGCUGGAUAAGAGGCCCUGGAGCUUGAGAUAAUAACUAUACAGAUGUUUCACACUAGAGGUCACUCUUGCAAUCUAAGAACAAAAUUCUGAAAAGAGGAAAACACAGCAAAACAAAAGAAAAAGCAAACAACCAUCAACAACAACACAACAAUGCACAUGAUAUCAGUGCAAAAAACAAGGAUAUAGUUUUUCCUUUGAAAUCUAUGAAGAUGCUCUUAAAAUGAUCAAAUAAAUUGGUAAGGAGUCGAACUGUCAUUAUGGAGUAUGAGAGAGCUAAAAAGUAACAAUUGCUCUACUUGGCAGGAAGGCAGGCAGGCAGGCAGGUAGGUAAGUGGCCAGUUCCUCCCUGGCUUGGGACAUCAAUCUACAGCUGCCCUGAAGUGAUUAGCUUGAUAUAGAUCUAAGUAGACUGGAAUGACAUACACAUUUUAAACCAACUGAGAAGCUGGUAAGAGGAAUUGCAGGAAUUCAAUGUCGCAAUAUAUUAAAAAAUAAAUACUCUUUGUACCUGUUUGUUUAAUGAACAGUAGCUGUUAUAGUGAAAAUUCAUUUCUUAAACAGAUGGAAAAUGUCUAAAUGAGUGGACUUAAAAUCACCCUUGAGUUGUCUCAAGGGUAGGCACGUAUUUGUGCAUUAUAGAUCACUAUCUAUGUGUUUUAUGAUGUAAAGGUUUGAACUCUACUCUUACAUCUCCAUACCCUUCAUUCCUUCUGCAAACCUAAUUGGCCUGCAUAGUGCCCAAAAUUCCAUCUAUCAUUCCUUUCUCAGGUUAAUGCAUUUUACUUUCAGUUGUCCUUUAUUAAAAUUUUUAAACUCCCAGGGGAAGAGGAAUAGCAGAUAGUUUUUCCCAUCAUUCAAACCUCAAUUCAUUUUUAAGAUCCUCAUUAGGGCACCUGCCAUGAAGUCCCAAAGGGAGAUAGGACAUGUGACCCUGGAGGAAAUAUUGAUGAGGUCCAGAGGAGCAGGAGGAGAGUUAUGGGUGGUAAACCUGAAGCACCACUGGGGAGCACUUGAGUAGAGAGGGGAGCAUUGAAAAGAACAUCUGGAUAAUAAAGUUUUCAAAUUUUGUCAACCUAGUGGUAUGAGAUAGAUUUAAAAAUUUUAGCCUUUCAUCUGCUUAUCAAAUCAACAUGAUCAUUAAGAGAUCUUUAUCAUAUUUCUCUAUGAAAUAAAGGGGUAGUAAAAUAAUGAAUGUUAUUACUAAAUAGAGUCUAAUAAACAAGUUCUAGACCAAUAAUAAAUCAAAGAAAUACUGAAGCAGUAAUAUCUUUUUUCUUAAUGACAUGUUUAAAACAAAAACAACGCCAUAGAAGUAGGCUUUGGUUUCACAACCUAGGAUGUUUUGUUUACCAAGGCACAUUAGCAAAAUGUCACCAUGAAGUCCCACUGAGACUUAAGUGCUUUUCAAGAAUUUCAACCCCCAUUGCCUGGGAGAAUGACAGACAGCUAUGUUGGAAUGAAGGGAAUAAAAUUACAGGAUUGAGUUUGGAAGACUAGGCAAGUUAUUUAGGGAAAUUGUUUUUACAAUGUACAUCUUUGAAGAAAAUCAGAUGAUGUCUAAGCUUCUGUCUAAACAUAGAGAAUGAAGUGGUUACAUGACUCAAUUAUCUCCAAUAAUUUAAGCUUAAAAUAGACCUCUUUUGCCUCAGUUUUUCAGAUUCAGUUCUCUGCCAAAUUUAUAUAGGAAAUUGAUUUCACCACUCACUUUUCUCUGAAUGCAGUGAUGGAGCCGAAAGUAAUGCAGAAAAAGUGACUCUUACUGAACAACUUAGCCCUCACCAAUUUAUACUGCUGUUUUUACUGUGUUCUAUAUCCUUGGGAGAAUUUACCCUUUCUUAUUAACACCAACCACUUCCACAAUUAAUGAAAAGUGGAAGAAAUUGCCAGCCAGAAAAAUUCUGUUGGUAAACAAAAAACAAAACUCAGAAUAUAUUUAAAACAAAACAACAGAUACUCCUGAGAAAAAUUCAGCAGCUGCUUGAAGACAUUUGAAAGGAGUAAUUUAUUCGCUUUUACCUAGAAGGCAAAAAUUGAUGGCUAAGAAUCUGUUCUCUGCAACAUGAGCUGACUGCAACUUGGAAACUCAAAAAAAUCUAAGCAGUGACCUAGAGAAAAGGACAAAAAGGCACAGCAAGUUUUAUGUUCAGGGUGUGUUUCAUCCAAAAGAGAUAAAAUUGGGCCAUGUUAAAAAUAAAUAAGCCUCUCUAAGAAUUGCAUCUAGCUUUGUACUAGGACUCUUGAGAAGGUCACAGGGAAAGCAGAGAUGUGUCCAAGCCUAGAAGAUGAUGGAUUACAAAUCCCAUCCCACAGAGGAAUGUGGAAGAUGAAGCAAGAGCCAUGUAAAUUAAGAUAAUCAAAGAAAGAGAAUUUAACUGGAGGGAAAACACCUGGGUUCUAGUCCAAGAUUAUUUACUCAUUUUACAUCAUAUGACACAGAAUAAAUAACAACUUAUCUAUAUACCUUGUUAUAAUGUCACUAGAAUGUAGAUCUAGGAAGGCAAGGAUUUUUAUGUGUGAAGUUCAUCGCUACAUCCCUAGAGCAUGGAAGAGUAAUUGACACGUAGUAGGCUCUCAUAAACAUUUGCUGAAAGACUGAAUGAGUGAGGUGCAUCUCUCUAAUCUGUAAAGUAUAAUUUGUCUAGGAAUAUUGUGGCAGUUGGGUGACAGAAUGCAUGCACCGGGAUUAAUCCAGGUUUUGUGUGUCUAAAGUUUAUACAAGUCAAGGGGGAUUGUCUUAAGAAGAAUGCAAGAUUACAAAUACAAAAUUAAGUAUAAAAUUGAUUAUUUUUAGGAUGAGAAAAUAAACUGGUAUAUGUAACACAUUUUAAAAGAUGAUAAAUGCCACAAACAUCACAAAAUCCAGAAAAAAAACCCUACAUAUUUUCAUGAAUUAACUGCCUGACAUACUUCAAUAAUAACUUUUAUAACUUAUACUUGUAUUGCAUAUACUUUGUUUUUCUCUUCAUAUGACAACUUCGUAAUAUUUUCUAUAAACAGAAUGGAAAGGGAAUUCAAUAGUUCCUCUAGCAUGGUUGAUUGAGAUUUGUUUUUUAUUAAUAAGUUUAGGAAUUUUCUUCAGGUUUAUAAUUGUUAUUGCUAAUGUCAUGUAAAGUUUGAGAAUUGCUGUCAAAUUUGGGGAACACCUACCCAUUUUAAAAAUCAGUUUUCUCUCAAUUUUCUUUUAGAUAUAAAGUAUUUUUUCACAGACUGAUUUUAGCUCUCUAUAUUUCAAAGCUUAUUUCUCUUACAUUCACUUCUACUUCUGUUGCCAAUCACUUAAGGACAUGUUAUUAUCCUGAAAUGACUUCUGGUUCUGUGGCCUCUGGCCCUUGGUUUAGUCAGCACAGUGGGUGGCAGGAUGAUUUCUUGGAAGUCAUUUGAUACUGGGGUGGCUAGCAUAAUCUAACUAUAUACAGAGGUGACUGUGCACUGAAAAUGUCCUACUAAACCCAAAUUAAAUAUUUCACCAACUCAAAUUUUACUUAACUAAAGCCCUAAAAUUUUCAUGGUCACUCCAAUGCUACCAGACAAGAGAAAAAGUGUCUAAGUUAAGUUUAGUUAAAAUAUCUUCGGAAAGCUUUACAAAAACAUAUAGUCAGAUAAAAGCAUUGCUAAAGCUACUCUAGGAGGUUUGGAGGGGGUUUGUAAGGCUUAUGCCUCAUUAGCUUCAUUGCAAAUCGACCUCUGAAGAUAAGAGCACUUUGCAAAGUGCAGAGUGUUAUACAAAUACAGAUAAUAAUAAUGAUGAUAAUGAUAGUGGCAAUGACAACAAUGAUGAUGAUUGUGUAAUGUAAAAGAUCUUAAAUAUUGUAGAAGAUGACAAGUUAUGGGAGAAGCAACACUUGGAGUCAGUCUGAUGCUGUGUCUACUCCCCUCCCUUAAACAUCUCUGGUAGGAACCAAAUCCUUAUUGUCUGAUCUGAAUCUCAGGAAGCAGGAGGGAAAAACUGUUGGCUUAUAUAACUACAUAAUUAAUGUAGUGAUUCCAUAGAAAAGGGCCUCUAAAUUCUGGUCCUAACAAUGUCAAGAAUUCCCUGGAUUACCACUCUUAUUUUUACUAUGCAAUUUUGAAGAAAAAUAUAUAAUGAGAAAAAUAGCUACUAAUUCACUAAUGCUUUAACAUAAAUUGGUAUUUUAUUCAUCAUAACAGCAUUUGUACACAACUCAAACAUGCCAGUGGUGUAUAUAUGAAUAAGACAUAAUAUUGAUUCAAUCUUCAGGUGUACUUAUAUGCAUGUGCCAUAAUAUGCCUUUGCAGUUUCUAAGCCAAUUCUGACUUCAGCAGACAGUACAUUAGAACAGUCCAUCCUAUCCAUGGGUGGGUCUGGAAUUCAUCUUCCUGUCUUGAUAUUCUUUAAGCUACCAUGUCCGCUAUAGUUCCCAAGCAGUCAGCUGGCAUCAUAUAAACAAAAGGGUCAAUCAAUCUCUCUCCGUACACAUCGCAGCCCUAAAUAGCUUGCUUCUACCCACUCUGAGCACUGCCUAAUCAACUGCUGAUUCCUCUGCCACUUAAUCUCAUUAUUCUUUCUCCCACUUAUAGUCCUGCUUCAAACCUCAGGAUUGGCAUUUAAUAAUGCAUUUUUACCAAGAACUUUGCCUUCCUUCCUUGACUGAAAUUUUGGUGUUUUUUUUUUUUUUUUGAGCUAUGUUGGUUUAGGCCACUGAUAUAGUUUGGAUGUUUGUCCCCUCUAAAUCUCAUGUUGAUAUGUGAACCCCAAGGUUGAAAGUGGGGCCUAGUGGGAGUUGCUUGUGUCAUGAGGACAGAACCCUUAUGAAGGGCUUGGUGCCAUUCUCGUGGUAAUGAGCUCUCGAGAGCUCUAUUAGUUCAUGUAAGAACUGGCUAUUUAAAGAGCCUGACAUUUCCCCCCCUUUUUCUCACUUCCUCUCUCACCACAGGACAAACCUACUCCCCUACUUCCCCUUCACCUUCCUCCAUGAGUAAAAGCUUCCUAAGUCCUCAUCAGGAGCCUAGUAGAUGUGGGUGCUAUGCUUUUACAGCCUGCAGAACC